rnacentral:tRNA from 1 species
CCUGGUGGUCUAGUGGUUAAGGUUUGGCACUCUCAAUGCCAUGGCCUGGGUUCAUUUCCUGGUCAGG